GACGCACGCUGGCGGCGUGCUUAACACAUGCAAGUCGAACGGAGUGGCGAACGGGUGAGUAACACGUGGGUGACCUGCCCUGCACUUCGGGAUAAGCCUGGGAAACUGGGUCUAAUACCGGAUAGUGUGGGAUGGGCCCGCGGCCUAUCAGCUUGGUGGUGGGGUAAUGGCCUACCAAGGCGGCGACGGGUAGCCGGCCGGAGAGGGUGGACGGCCACAUUGGGACUGGGAUACGGCCCAGACUCCUACGGGAGGCAGCAGUGGGGGAUAUUGCACAAUGGGCGAAAGCCUGAUGCAGCGACGCCGCGUGGGGGAUGAAGGCUUUCGGGUUGUAAACCUCUUUCGCUAUCGACGGGGUAGGUGGAGAAGAAGCGCCGGCUAACUACGUGCCAGCAGCCGCGGUAAUUC
rnacentral:rRNA from 1 species